rnacentral:rRNA from 1 species
GAUUUGCAUGAAUUUUUGAAAGGUUCAUUGCAAUUGAGUAUAAGUAACUUCUUUUUACUAAGAAAUGUUACAUUACCCCCCCCCCCCCCUUUAUUUUUUACCCCCUUUUUUAUUAUAUAACACAAGUUUAAAUGAAUGUAAAAAACCCUUUAAUUAUAAAAUAACUUUUAACAAUGGAUCUCUAGGCUCUCACAUCGAUGAAGAACACAGUGAAAUGUGAUAAGUAAUGUGAAUUGCAGAAUUCAGUGAAUCAUCGAAUCUUUGAACGCAUCUUGCACCUUUUGGUAUUCCAAAAGGUACACCUGUUUGAGUGUCAUGAAACCCUCUCAAAUC